rnacentral:rRNA from 1 species
GACGAACGCUGGCGGCGUGCUUAACACAUGCAAGUCGAACGGUGAUCUUGAGAGCUUGCUCUUGGGUGAUCAGUGGCGAACGGGUGAGUAACACGUGAGUAACCUGCCCCUGACUCUGGAAUAACUUCGGGAAACCGAAGCUAAUACCGGAUAUGACACAGAGCCGCAUGGUUUCUGUGUGGAAAGUUUUUCGGUUGGGGAUGGACUCGCGGCCUAUCAGCUUGUUGGUGAGGUAAUGGCUCACCAAGGCGACGACGGGUAGCCGGCCUGAGAGGGAGACCGGCAACACUGGGACUGAGACACUGCCCAGACUCCUACGGGAGGCAGCAGUGGGGAAUAUUGCACAAUGGGCGAAAGCCUGAUGCAGCGACGCCGCGUGAGGGAUGAAGGCCUUCGGGUUGUAAACCUCUUUCAGUAGGGAAGAAGCGCAAGUGACGGUACCUACAGAAGAAGCACCGGCUAACUACGUGCCAGCCGCCGCAGAAAUAC